CCACAGAGGUACAAACAUCACUCGGAGAGAUUUCCAAAAGUGGGGAUCUUGUUCCAGUGGGGUAUUUCAACAUCCAUUUGGCCGACAAGUGACUUAUACAAGACGUAUGCAAUUGCUGAAGUUACAGGGGGCAUAGCAGUGAAUUCAACACAAGAAGCUGUUGCGGACUUUAAAACCAAAGUGACUGUCAAGUGAUCCUAUCAGUCUGCGCACAUUCAAGCCAUGGCGACAGCCCCCGCUGAGUAUGUGAUACUUGAUAUGAAUGCUAAUGGGGACUCCAAAGCAGGGAUGAGAGAGAAAAGAAAGCAUCACAUUUUAGAUCUGUUAAUGUUAAACAGACCCCUGGUGGUUUGCCUGCAAGAAUUUGUCUGGACGGGUAUUCAUUCGAGCGCAUUUAAAGACAUUGAUGUUCCCGACCAUUUUCAGUAUGAAGGCCACAAAGAAGCAGGUUUCAUAUUUGAUAUAAGGGAAAUCACAUACUCGAGGAUUGACAACAAAACAUCAGUGCGAAACAUGUAUGACAACAUGGUGGAGAGCAGUGACAUGGCCUCGGACUACUUUGAGCUGCCAAGACUUUGCGUCUAUAAAAUACAGAGCAAAGGAGCUCCUAAUUUUGAGAUCCUCUGUGCCAGUUGGCAUGGUCCUCAUAAGGUGUCUACGGAGCAAAAGCAAAAGGCCCUUGAUACGUUGGUCAAGUUUCUUCUGAAACUGAAACUGAAAGUGGAAGAGAAAGAGAAGAAUAUUCCACUCUUGCUUGGGGGUGACUUCAACAUGUCAGCAUCUGCUGUGAAGAGAAGACUCCCUUCGAAUGGCAGUCUGAUGCUACACACGCCAGAUGACUCGUCUAUAGAUAUGUUCAUCGUGAGCUCUGAUAUAGUGCAAAUAUUUAGCAUUUCAGAAGUUGAAACCAUGAAAAGAAAUUCAGCAUUUGACCAUUUGCAUCUGAAAAUAUAUUUACUCCUAAAAAAAUCAAACAGGGGACGAGCAAACAGGGGACGAAGGGCCACAAGGUUCUGAACAAACAUUGCCACCAACGAAGAAGAAAGCAUCGCCAUCAGAGGAUGAAUCCAAACAGAAAACUAAAGGCCAAGAAGGAAUGAGCCCUGAAAAAAACCCAGAGGACGAAGGGCCACAAGGUCCUCGUGAAGAACAAACAGGGGACGAAGGGCCACAAGGUUCUGAACAAACAUUGCCACCAACGAAGAAGAAAGCAUCGCCAUCAGAGGAUGAAUCCAAACAGAAAACUAAAGGCCAAGAAGGAAUGAGCCCUGAAAAACAGAGGACGAAGGGCCACAAGGUCUUCGUGAUGAACAAACAGGGGACGAAGGGCCACAAGGUUCUCCUGAAGCGGAAAGAGGGGACAGAGGACCACACGGUCCUUCUGAAGAACAUACAGCGGACGAAGGGCCACAAGGUCUUCCUGAAGCGGAAAGAGGGACGAAGGACCACUCGGUCCUCGUGAAGAACAAACAGGGGACGAAGGGCCACAAGGUCCUCAUGAAGAGCAAACAGGGGACGAAGGGCCACAAGGUUUGCUACUCUUAAAGCUCUAAAAGAGCUACUUGGGACCAAUAUAACCCAGAAUGUGGUGUUGAUUCAAAUGUAUUUGGGAACAUUUCAUAGCAUAGGGGCAUCCCUCUCAUCCUGUAUGGAGGUAUACUGAUUCAAUAAUGCAUGUAGAGGAUUCCAUCAUACAUGUGCUCAAUUUCGAAUGUUGAUCUAUGCUGAAGAAUUGUGGGAUUGGUUGGUAACU
rnacentral:misc_RNA from 1 species